AUUGAACGCUGGCGGCAGGCCUAACACAUGCAAGUCGAGCGAGCGGCGGACGGGUGAGUAAUGUCUGGGAAACUGCCUGAUGGAGGGGGAUAACUACUGGCAACGGUAGCUAAUACCGCAUACCAUCGGAGGUGCCCAGAUGGGAUUAGCUAGUAGGUGGGGGAACGGCCCACCUAGGCGACGAUCCCUAGCUGGUCUGAGAGGAGGACCAGCCACACUGGAACUGAGACACGGUCCCGACUCCUACGUGAGGCAGCAGUGGGGAAUAUUGCACAAUGGGCGCAAGCCUGAUGCAGCCAUGCCGCGUGUAUGGAGAAGGCCUUCGGGUUGUAAAGUACUUUCAGCGGGGAGGCGUUACCCGCAGAAGGAGCACCGGCUAACUCCGUGCCAGCAGCCGCGGUAAUAC
rnacentral:rRNA from 1 species